AAAAGCUAAGAAUGAGUUCCUCUCCUUACAGCGGCCCAAUGAUUGUGCUGUGAUGGUGCUCUUGUUUAUCCAGACACAGCCCUUGAUGUGCGGGACAGUGAGUGCCCAGUUCAUGAGGUGCCAGGGAUCCAACCCACAGCUUUGUGCAUGCUAGGCAAGCACUCAACCAUCUGAGCCGCAGAGCCGACCCAGUAAGCCCUUCUUCUCAGAAGAGGGGAGGUGUCAACACUGAGGAACAAGGCUGGACAUUCAUCCAGAAACGGCAAGUCUGGUUAAUGUUUCCACAGAAAGCUUCAGGACAGUGAGCGAGUGUCAGUCCGCUUACGAAGCGUGUGGCUCUCCCCUGUGGCACCGGGACCCACCCAAGCACUGUGCUGGAAAUAGACACACACAUGCCUGGGAGAGGAGCCAGGGAGCAGAGCCCAAGAAUCACUCAGCAGUCUCUUGAGCAAGCCAGGCAUAGAGUAAUCCUAGCACUUGGGAGUCUAAAGCAGGAUUCCCACGAGUCUGAGGCCAGCCUGGUCUACAAAGCAACUUCUAGUCUACCUAUAGCUAAAUAAGUAAACACCCUUGGAGUAGCCAGAUGCCCACACCCUUGGAGUAGCCCGGUGCCCACACCCUGUCUGCCCUGCAGCUCUGAUGGCUGAGCAGGACCGAGGAUGGUGUUCUAAUCUGGGACAACCCGAGGGCCUUUUUACAGUUACACAGAUAUCAUUGACGUUGUGCAGGCCCUGCAGACUCACCCAGACCCAAAUGUCAAGUCCUACUUCACCAUUGGUGCCGUCACAGUGUGUGUGGAGCCCCUGAGCUGCUACAUGGAGCACAGCCAUUUGAGAGGAUAUAUUGUAUGAGAAAAGAAUCUACUUUCAAUAAAAGGAAAAAAGAAAAGGAAAAGAAAAGAAAAAGAAAAGUAGCUCAGCAUGAACCUGUGAGCCAGCAAGCAGCAUCCUCCAUUGUUUCUGCUUCAAGAUCCUGUUUGAGUUCCUGU